CCUACGGGAGGCAGCAGUGAGGAAUAUUGGUCAAUGGACGAGAGUCUGAACCAGCCAAGCAGCGUGAAGGAUGACUGUCCUAUGGGUUGUAAACUUCUUUUAUAAAGGAAUAAAACGAGGCUCGUGUGCCUUUUUGCAUGUACUUUAUGAAUAAGGAUCGGCUAACUCCGUGCCAGCAGCCGCGGUAAUACGGAGGAUCCGAGCGUUAUCCGGAUUUAUUUGGUUUAAAGGGAGCGUAGAUGGGUUGUUAAGUCAGUUGUGAAAGUUUGCGGCUCAACCGUAAAAUUGCAAUUGAUACUGGCAGUCUUGAGUACAGUUGAGGUAGGCGGAAUUCGUGGUGUAGCGGUGAAAUGCUUAGAUAUCACGAAGAACCCCGAUUGCGAAGGCAGCUUACUAAACUGUGACUGACAUUGAUGCUCGAAAGUGUGGGUAUCAAACAGGAUUAGAUACCCUAGUAGUC
rnacentral:rRNA from 1 species